AUGCUACACGAUACCGGAAACAAUGAAAAUUCGAGAGUAAUUAGGGAGAGAAACAGAUAAAUUUUGUUGAUGCGUACCUUGAAUCGACGUCGAGCAAAAAAGAAGGGUAUGGUUUGGAGUUUUACCAGAAACUUCACGGCUUGCCUUAUGUGUUGAAGUUCAUCCCAUGGUGAUCGUGCUGCCUGUAGGAGACAAAAUAAAAAGAAUCAUAUAUUCUCCGUUGCUAACCGAACAACACUCUCGGCGAAGCAACAAACUGCCAGAAGAUCAACUUUGCAAGUCAAGCUACCUCAUGACUAAAUGUUGAUGGGACCUGGAGAUCAUUAACACUCAGUCAAGAAACAGGAAAAGAUCAAUUAAGCUUGAGAUCAAAAUCUUCGAAAUUUCUUUCUCUUACAUGGUUCUCUGCCAGUAAGGUCAAGACGCGGAAACUCUUUCAUGAGGCAUUGUCUUUUCUACAGAAGCUGUCUGUCUUCGGAGAGAUUCAUUUUCUGACUCUAGUAUUGCAAGCUUAUCCUUCAGGCUGAUAAGAGCUAGGCCUGAUAGAAGAAAGGAAUGUAUUAGGUGGACAAAACUGAUCAGCUCACAGAACUGUACCUGUUUAACUCUCCAGACUCUUCGACGAUUGUUGAAACAGCCAAAGCCUGCUGGCGCAAGACCUGAUUUUCCGAUUCAAGGUUUGACAAAUUCGUAUGUAAUCUGGAAUUUACCAACAAUACUCAUGAACACUGACAGUAAAACAGAAAUAUGAUGUCAAAUGCCUUAAGGAACCAAUAAUCUAUACCGGUCGAUGAUCUCUUGAAGUUGGAUGGCCUUUGAUUUUGCA